rnacentral:rRNA from 1 species
AAUUCCUGGUGUAGCGGUGAAAUGCGCAGAUAUCAGGAGGAACACCGAUGGCGAAGGCAGGUCUCUGGGCAUUAACUGACGCUGAGGAGCGAAAGCAUGGGGAGCGAACAGGAUUAGAUACCCUGGUAGUCCAUGCCGUAAACGUUGGGCACUAGGUGUGGGGGACAUUCCACGUUUUCCGCGCCGUAGCUAACGCAUUAAGUGCCCCGCCUGGGGAGUACGGCCGCAAGGCUAAAACUCAAAGGAAUUGACGGGGGCCCGCACAAGCGGCGGAGCAUGCGGAUUAAUUCGAUGCAACGCGAAGAACCUUACCAAGGCUUGACAUGAACCGGUAACGCCUGGAGACAGGUGCCCCGCUUGCGGUCGGUUUACAGGUGGUGCAUGGUUGUC